rfam:Myotis davidii contig54339, whole genome shotgun sequence.
CUUGGGGGAGGGUGUCCCUCAGCCCGGAUUGCAAGAGGGUGCAGGCCAGGCCAAGGGUACCCACCAGUGCAGG